UACGGAGGGUGCAAGCGUUAUCCGGAUUCACUGGGUUUAAAGGGUGCGUAGGUGGGCAAGUAAGUCAGUGGUGAAAUCUCCGGGCUUAACCCGGAAACUGCCAUUGAUACUAUUUGUCUUGAGUACUGUGGAGGUCAGCGGAAUAUGUCAUGUAGCGGUGAAAUGCGCAGAUAUCAGGAGGAACACCGGUGGCGAAGGCGACUUCCUGGCCUGUUCUUGACGCUGAGGCGCGAAAGCUAGGGUAGCAAACGGG
rnacentral:rRNA from 1 species